rnacentral:rRNA from 1 species
GACGAACGCUGGCGGCGUGCCUAACACAUGCAAGUCGAACGGAAAGGCCCUGCUUUUGCGGGGUGCUCGAGUGGCGAACGGGUGAGUAACACGUGAGUAACCUGCCCUUGACUUUGGGAUAACUUCAGGAAACUGGGGCUAAUACCGGCUAGGAGCUCCUGCUGCAUGGUGGGGGUUGGAAAGUUUCGGCGGUUGGGGAUGGACUCGCGGCUUAUCAGCUUGUUGGUGGGGUAGUGGCUUACCAAGGCUUUGACGGGUAGCCGGCCUGGGAGGGUGACCGGCCACAUGGGGACUGAGAUACGGCCCAGUCUCGUACGGGAGGCAGCAGGGGAGAAUAUUGCACAAUGGUCGGAAGCCUGAUGCAGCGGCGCCGCGUUCGUGAUGACGGCCUUCGGGUUGUAAACCGCUGUCGCCUGUGACGAAGCGUGAGUGACGGUAAUGGGUAAAGAAGCACCGGCUAACUACGUG